AUUUGUUUCCAUUUUUUUCUAUUUUCACUUAGAAAAAUUGAAGUAUAAUUCUCAACCAAAAUUUCUAAGUAUAAUACAGAGCAACUGGCCAUAGUUUUUAUAUCUCUUUGUUACAGAAAUUGAAAUAAAUUAUUUUUAAUUCCAAACUAUAGCAUAGUAAUUUCCAAAGUAAAUUAAGUAAAUACAACCAGCAAACGGUACCGUUUCAGCUAUGUAAUGACUUAGUCACUGUAAGUAUUCUGAUUAGCACUCAAGUCUCCCCUUACAUAACCUGCUGAAGUUGUCAUCUGUCAGCACCUUUUCCCUCAAGUGCUCUUACCUUCAAACUUUAAUCCGGGCACGGUCCAUCCAAGAAAUAACUAAUUACAAUUUGACCUAGAACAAUGAUCACAGACUAUGUACUCCCGGAACACUGAAAUGUCAAAAUGGAUCAGUGCGGCCUGGGGAAAUCAGGUGUCCCCCCAAGUACUCACAUGGUGUUCUGCUACCACAUCUGUGGAAAAAGACGCCAGAUGCUGUUCCUGUUCCAACCCAGGUACCUGUGUUCUGCUUUCCUAAACAGACUGGAAGCUUUUCAAGCCACGAAGCACAUCCUAUUGUCCUAGUAUUUUGUUUUUGGUCCUUUACACAUAAAUAUUCAUUAGCAAAUCUGAUAACCUAAUUAAAUUAGAAAUCUCUUAUCUAAGACCCAGAAACCCAUUCGUGUCUACUGGCUCUUUCCAUUUUGCACAAUGCUAGCUAGGCCUGUACACCAUGUCUCCAAGCUGCCUGUGACCUUCCCCCAACAUCUCUGACCCCAGUGCUGAGGUUUCCUGCUUCCCCAAGAUGGGCUCUCAUCCCAUUGUGUUCCAAGUCCCAACGAUGAUGGACCAUGCUCAUACAAACACCUUCCUGUUUUUCCAAAUAAAUCUGAAAGUCUGCACUGGAUACAAGGGGAUAAAGAUGACCCUUAGAGGUCAAAUGUUGUUCAGUCCCCAUCUGAAUACCACAGUACCAUAGCUAUAGCCUGUUUUCCGUCCCAGCGUUGGGGAAAAAUAACAU
rnacentral:lncRNA from 1 species